GGCUAGCCCCGCAGAGACUUUGCCCUGAGCCCUAUAACCAGGAGGACCAAAUGCCCUAGUUUGCCCCAGUGCUAAUUUACAUCUGUUGUCCCAGCCUAAUUAUUAACCAUGCCUCCUUGCGUUCUCUAGUGCACUGGUUUGGAUGACAAAUUUUACACGGUCACUUGGCCUUUAGCACAACGUUGAACUUACACUUGCAGAGGAGGAGGGCCUGGGAGCUGAGGGCAGAGACAGUGGGGCUGCUGGGCUUCCCUGUAGACCCCACCUCCGACCCCCUGCCUUUCAGUCAAGCCAGGGUUUCCACGGGGUGAGAUGGCUGGGCUGCAACAUUGAGACUAGAAGCCAGAACCAGGGUGAGGGGGUUGAGGGUGGAGGGGAGUGGCUGGCGGCGGGGGGGCGGGGCGGGUGGCAACGAUAGACUAAGCUUCCUCUGCCUCGGUGCCCCUCCGCUUCCCAGGAAUUUCAGGAAAAUACCUGCCAUGUGUUCCUGCGCCGCCCCAGUCCCCCGCGCCCGCGCCCGGGUGUGGAAUUUGAUGGGCUGAGGGAAGCGCGGCCAAGGCCCACGUGGCUCAGUGCCUGCCAGCAACCUCAGCUUUUCCUUCUGCUCACGGACUGUGCUGCCCAAGGUCUGAGGCGGCACUUCCAUCCCGCGGCCAUUUUUUGAGAGUGUCGCUGUGGGGGAGGGGAAUGCCAGAUGGGGUGGGGCCAAGGGGGCGUGGUGUCUCAAGGAACCUCCUGCAGGGCGGAGGAUAAGGCUCCUUCCAGGAGGGGCCCAUCUCGCCUGGCUUUCUGCAGCGCCCAGGCCCUCAGAUCACAGACGUUUUGAUGAGGCCUCAGUGGCAGUGUAAGUUCAGAUCUUCAGGUAGAUCCCGGUUCUAACUCGUUUAUUUAUUCAUUCAACAAACACUCACCACUUACUGUGUGCCAAGUACUGCCCCAAGUAUUGGUAUAAGAAGAUGAGUAUGACACAGUGCCAGCCGCCAAGGAGCUCACCAUCUACCUGGGGAGACAAAUAGGGUACCAUGCACAAGGUAAGUGCAAUACCAGAAGUAUGCACAGGAGAAGCCUCUAAUACACACUUCAAGGUUCAGCAAAUACUUCCUGGAGUUGUUGGUGCCUGAGCUAAAUUCUAGAGAAAUAGAAGCUUGUCAGGUUAAGUGGAGAUUAUUGUUGGGUGGGGUGCUUGGAGGGCAGGGCAGGUAUUCCUGGUGAAGAAGAGAAAGAGUACAGUGCACUCAGAGAACUCUGCAGCUCCUGGCUUCUGAACUCAGAUUCCAAAGAAAAGGGAGAUCUUGAGUAGGAGUUUGGAAAAAGAGAGAAAACUCAAUUGGUAGGAUGAAAUUUCUUUCCUGAACGGGCCCUCGAAGGCAAAAGCAACAAAAUUAUAUAAGGGGCACAGCAAAUGAAUUGGAGUGGAGAGGCCUUGGCCAGAUCAGCGGGUGGAAAAGGGUGGAAGGGUUUGUGAUCUGCUCCCUUUCUCAGAUCCUUCCCUGUGGGUUAUAGGAGAACAUUUACAUCUCCCAAACAUAUAUUUGCUGAAAAAAAGCAUUAGAAUAAAGGGAAUAAGAAAACAGGACA
rnacentral:lncRNA from 1 species